rnacentral:RNase_P_RNA from 1 species
GAAGCAAGCCAGACCGCCGCUGGGGCAAGCAUGGAAACAUGGCCCUGGAGGAAGGUCCGGACUGCAUAGAGCGGCGUAGCAGCUAACGGCUGCCCGGCGAGAGCCGAGGAUCAGAGCAACAGAGACGAGUCGGUCGUCCGGACCUGCGAAGGGGCGAAAGCCACUUCGCAAAGGUUCCUUCCUGUGGAGAGCGUGCUCUUCGCGGGAAGCGAGGGACGGGCAGGGCGCAAGCCCUGCGGGAUCGGUGACGCAGUCACCGAGACCGGGUGCAACGGGCAAUCUCUACGCGCAGCAACACCAAGUAGGCCAGCGUUGAUGCGGCUCGCAGAGCUGGCGGGUAGGUGGCACCGAGCCGGGCAGUGAUGCCCGGCCCAGAGGAAUGGCGGUCACGCCGUCCGAACCGCAAGGGGAGGGCGGUGCACAGAAUCCGGCCUAUCGGCUUGCUUCACUC